rnacentral:lncRNA from 1 species
GGAACUUUUACCAUUAUCUUAGAAGUAGCAGUUGGUGGCCACUGGGGACCCAGGCCCUUUCUUUCGAGCCAAGAAUACAGUAUCAGUCUAGAAAAGAUCAAGUAAAAGAGGGGUUCUUAGGAAAAUUAAGUGGGGUUUGCAAGGUGGGUGACAAGAAGAGCCAUUUUUCUUUUUUUAUUCCUUGGCAUAUGGUAGGAAGAAAAUGAUGGGCUGAUAGGGAAGUCAUCCCGGCUCUUGCUUCCACUGACUCUGGCUGUUGGAGAAACGGGGCGAGUGUAUAGCUUCCAGACCAGGAGGCUUAGGGGAGUAGGUCAGAGGCUGCACUCCACAGUCACUGGGGCUCUGAUCUCAUCUCCCUCCCCUCCCCACUGCAGUGCACACAGGAAGAAGUAUCUUCAGAAGAUGAAGACGAGGAGAUGCCUGAGGUAGGCUUGCAACCUGAGGUGGUGUUGGCAGGAAGCUGUUGCCGUCAGCGGCACUCAUCACCCACCAUAAACAGAGCUCCAGUCUAGAACUAGGGAGAGAGAAACAAUGUACUGAUCAGGAGGAAUGACCAGUGUAGUAGAGGAAACAGGCACCAUAUCCCCCCUCUGAAGGCAAUCAGGUGCAAAUAAAUACUCAAGUUAAUUUCAGAUGGCGUUGGAGGCUGACAGACUGAGUUUGCAUCCUGGCUAUCCUAACUAGGGAGGUACACCUAAUCUCACCAAGCUAGAUGGGAUUAUAAUACAUGCUGCAUAUGGUUGUCUUAAGAUUAAGUAAAAUAUUGUAUAUAAAGUAUUUUGUGAGUACUAAGUAACUUACGUAAUAUAUUCUUUAAAAACAUAGAUGCUUUUGCAGAAUACAGAGUAACGAUUAAGAAUUUGAGUUUCAGAUCUAGAUAGAACUUGAUCUAAUGUUUAGCUCUGCCAAGAGUUCUAUGACUUUGGGCAUGAGAAUUAAUAUCUUACUAGACUUAAGCUUCCUCAUUUGUAAAAUGGAGACAGCGAUUGAAUAACGUUUAAUAAUGGUUGUGAGGAUGAAAUGAUCUGGUGUGUAAUAAACAUUAAGUAGAUGUUAGCUGGUACUGUAAUAAUCAGGAGGUUAGUAUGUUCUGCCAGGUAAGACACUGAUCACUUUGUUUCAGAGCAUUGGAUUAAUGUCCCAAGUUCUAUAAGUCUGUAAAGGUCUUAAGACUGACAGACAGCUGGUGACACAUGAAAUUUACUCUUCCCAGACGGUGGACAGCCCUGUGUACCACACCCUGAACACCUGACUGAAAGGCUAACUCCUGGCGUCCUCCCCCUGUGAAUAGUGAACUACUUGUUCACUUAGAAUAGGUUGAAUAAAGAGCUAAUUCUGUUCUUAACUUCGGCUGCCUUCCUCUCUGGACCCCCUUUCUCAUUUCCAUCUUGUUAGUAGGUGCCUCUGCAAACCUGACUCAAGCCCUACAUUUGUAGGGAGAGGAGGAGAUGAAAUCCCAGAUUCUCCUCUGGACCUGAGGCCCUGAGGAUCCUGGGUACAUCAGUUCACCUGAUGAAACAUGAGCUUUCAGUGACAGUGUCGGGCCAAAGUCAUUCUGAUAGGAAUUGGGAAAGAGAAGGGGGGUUUUAGGGGCAGGUCAAGCAGGGUUGUCCUGGGGAGCAAAAGGCCAAGUCUUCGUAGGUCCUUACCUUAGCUCUGUGGCUGUAGAACUGGAGAAGAGAAGUGCCUGUCCUUCACAGGGUGGAGGGAUAGGGUUGGGAAGUGUUCUGGAAGCGAGGGGGGGUGUUGAGUGGUGGGACUGCUAGAUGACUGCUUCUCCUGGAGCUCCAGGCCAGGUGGGACUAGGAAGGUGACGGUCCUCAUUCACAGCCUUCUCCCUUUCCCCUCUGUUCCCCUCCCUCCCGCUCUGCCCAGGACACGGAAGACCUAGAUCACUAUGAAAUGAAAGAGGAAGAGCCAGCUGAGGGCAAGAAAUCCGAAGACGAUGGCAUCGGAAAAGAAAACCUGGCCAUCCUAGAGAAGAUCAAAAAGAACCAGAGGCAAGAUUACUUAAAUGUACGUGCCUCGUAGGGAGUGGCGGGGCACGAGGGAGGUGGGCACUACCUGGGGAGUGGUAGGCCGCAGCUCACAGCAUAGGGAGCUGCUCGCAUCUAAUCGUCCUCCAGACCCUGGGCAAGCAGUGGAGGUGUAACGUGUGUUUCCAGACUGGGACCAGAGAAUGUUCUGUUGUUUCUCCCUCACAGGGUGCAGUGUCUGGCUCGGUGCAGGCCACUGACCGGCUGAUGAAGGAGCUCAGGGAUAUAUACCGAUCACAGAGUUUCAAAGGCGGUGAGUUAGCUCCAGAGAGGGGCUUGCACGGGAGUUUCUCCUCGGGGUGGAUAUGGGAUAUGAUAUGAUAUGGUGCAGAAAGCCCCAGGGUUCGGGGUACAUGAGUAUUGACAAACUUGCGGUCAGGAACGGAGCACCUUAAAGCCAGUGGCUUGGCUUGGGUGUGCAUUCAUCUAGAGCAGACCUGGACCUUUGAUCUUUUUCCCUCGGUUUGUGAGAGGGAGCAGUCUGAGGGACCCCUCCCCGUCUGUACUGUCCUACUGACACUUCCCUUCCCCUUUUCUAGGAAACUAUGCAGUUGAACUCGUGAAUGACAGUCUAUACGAUUGGAAUGUCAAACUCCUCAAGUGAGUGGGGACUGGGGAGUCGGGAGCGGGGUGGGUGGAACACCUGGUGAUGUCUGGGCAGUCUCACUAGCAUGUUGGUUGCAGGGUCCCCAGAAGUGGGUGUGGGCAGUGGUAUGUGUAUCUGGGGCCGGCCGGGGCGCAGGGGAGGAGGGGGUUGGUGGGGAGCCCUUGUGAGGCUCUGCACUGGGACAAGGGUUUGAGCCCAGACUUGUUUCACAGAGUUGACCAGGACAGCGCUUUGCACAAUGAUCUCCAAAUCCUCAAAGAGAAGGAAGGAGCUGAUUUCAUCCUACUUAAUUUCUCCUUUAAGGUAAGCCUUCCCCCAGCUCUCCCUCCCUGGCCUGAGUUCCCUGUCUGCCUAAGUCUUGUGAGGAUGCCGGUCUCCUUCCCUGAAUGCUGCCUCUGUCUUUCUCAGGAUAACUUUCCCUUUGACCCACCGUUCGUCAGGGUUGUGUCUCCAGUCCUCUCUGGAGGGUGAGUGGCUGGGUCAGGGAGAGGGUGAAGCAGGGACUGGAAGCUCUUGCCAGGCCUGACUGACCGACCUUUCUCAUGCAGGUAUGUUCUGGGCGGAGGUGCCAUCUGCAUGGAACUUCUCACCAAGCAGGUGAGGCCCUUUCACUGUUGGCCCAAGAGCCUGGGUGGGGCCCGACAGCUGAGCUUCCUCCCCAUCCCAGCCUGGGCACAGGCGUCUGUGGCCCUGUUACCCUGCCACGUAGUGGCUGUCCUGGGAGGGAAGGGCACGGGCACUUCCAUAGAGAGGCACUGCCGCCUGGAGAAGAAGUGGAAGGUGUCUCCAGGAGCCC